GCCAGGCGAGGUGGUGCACGCCUGUAAUCUCAGUGGCUUGGGAGGCUGAGGCAGGAGGAUCGAGAUUUCAAAGCCAGCCUCAGUAACUUAGCAAGGCCCUAAGCAACUCAGUGAGACUCUGUCUCUC
rnacentral:sRNA from 1 species